GGUACAUCGCUGUCGGCUCUCCCUAUCCUGCGCGUGCAGAAGCGUGCAAGGGUGUCGGAGUUCACGCAUUAAAAGGGAUCGUUAGCUGGGUUAAGAACGCCGUGAGGCAGUUUGUAUGAUAUCUACUAGGUGUGUUGUUGGGUGAGUGGAACAAGCUUAUAGUACGAGAGGAACUAAGCUUGGAUGCCUCUGGUGAGCAGUUGUCAUUUGGCAGGCUGCAUAGCUACGCAUUGUUUGGAUAAGAGCUGAAUGCAUCUAAGCUCGAAGCCAUCCGCAAAACGACCCAACUGAGGCCGUUAAAGAAGAUAACGUUGAUAGAGUUGGAGUGUAAGAUUCAAGUGCGCAAGCACGAGAAUUUCAGCUCACAACUACUAAAAGCCUCUUUUGUAGUAUUC
rnacentral:rRNA from 1 species